rnacentral:rRNA from 1 species
CCUGGCUCAGAACGAACGCUGGCGGCAGGCCUAACACAUGCAAGUCGAGCGAGACCUUCGGGUCUAGCGGCGGACGGGUGAGUAACGCGUGGGAAUGUGCCCUUCUCUACGGAAUAGCCUCGGGAAACUGGGAGUAAUACCGUAUACGCCCUUUGGGGGAAAGAUUUAUCGGAGAAGGAUCAGCCCGCGUUGGAUUAGGUAGUUGGUGGGGUAAUGGCCUACCAAGCCUACGAUCCAUAGCUGGUUUGAGAGGAUGAUCAGCCACACUGGGACUGAGACACGGCCCAGACUCCUACGGGAGGCAGCAGUGGGGAAUCUUAGACAAUGGGGGCAAC